rnacentral:rRNA from 1 species
UACGUAGGGGGCUGGCGUUGUCCGGAUUUAUUGGGCGUAAAGAGCGUGUAGGCGGCCAGGUAGGUCUGCUGUGAAAACUCGAGGCUCAACCUCGAGCUGUCGGUGGAAACCGUGUGGCUAGAGUCCGGAAGAGGAGAGUGGAAUUCCCGGUGUAGCGGUGAAAUGCGCAGAUAUCGGGAAGAACACCCGUGGCGAAGGCGGCUCUCUGGGACGGUACUGACGCUGAGACGCGAAAGCGUGGGGAGCGAACAGG